rnacentral:rRNA from 1 species
GACGAACGCUGGCGGCGUGCUUAACACAUGCAAGUCGAACGGAAAGGCCCUGCUCUUGUGGGGUGCUCGAGUGGCGAACGGGUGAGUAACACGUGAGUAACCUGCCCUUGACUUUGUGAUAACUUCAGGAAACUGGGGCUAAUACCGGAUAGGAGCUCCUGCUGCAUGGUGGGGGUUGGAAAGUUUCGGCGGUUGGGGCUGGACUCGCGGCUUACCAGCUGGUUUGUGGGGUAGUGGCUUACCAGGGCUUUGACGGGUAGCCGGCCUGAGAGGGUGACCGGGCACAUUGGGACUGAGAUACGGCCCAGACGCGUACGGGAGGCAGCAGGGGAGAAUAUGGCACAAUGGGCGGACGCCUGAUGCAGCAGCGCCGCGUGCGGGAUGACGGCCUACGGGGUGUAAACCGCUUUCGCAGGAGACGAAGCGGGAGUGACGGUAAUGGGUAAGGAAGCACCGGCUAACUACGUG